rnacentral:lncRNA from 1 species
CUGGGCAAGCUGUGGUUAGCAAGCCAGGCACAGGCUUUUCAGAGUGGUCCCUACUCCAGGAUAGAGCAUCAGACCCAGCCAAACUCUUAGGGACACCCAGCCUCUGCCCUGGGUGGAGGGCAGCCAGAAAGGCAGUUGCAGCAUUCUCUGUCUUGAUCCUCUCCAGGUUGUCAUUAACCCCAACUAUGAGGUGCCAGAAUCAGAUUUCUCUAACAACAUCAUGAAGUGCAGGAGCCGCUAUGAUGGCUACCGCAUCUGGAUGUACAAUUGUCACGUAGGUGGAGCCUUCAGUGAGGAGACAGAACAGAAGUUCGAACACUUCAGUGGACUCCUAAAUAAUCAGCUCUCUGUGCAGUAAAGACGACUCUGGGCCAGGCAUGAUGGCUCAUGCCUGUAAUCCCCGCACUCAGGCAGGAGGAUUGCCACAAGAUUUUCACUCUGGACACUAGACCAAGCUUCAGUCUCAAAAGAAGGAAAAGAAAAGAAGGAAGGAAGGAAGGGAGGAAGGAAGGAAGGA